GAAGGUAUAGCUCAGUGAUAGAGUACAAACCUAGCAUGCACGAGGUCCUGGGUUCAAUCCCCAGUGCUUCCA
rnacentral:tRNA from 1 species